GUGUUUUAUGAAAGGAGAGAAGGUUAGCACUCCCCUUGACAAAGAUGGAAGAGGCCCUCAGGCCUGACAACACACUUAAGGUUAAGGCAUUGCCACCUACUUCAAGGCAUCUAACUAUGAUUUUUU
ensembl:snRNA